ACGAGAAUAGGCUCUGUCCUAACCCAUCUAAAAAGUGCCUAGAAACUUUUUAUUUGGUAUGAAGGGCAUGUUGUCAUAAAAUGCCCCGGCCUUUUUAACAGAGAAAGCAAGGAGCCUAGCAUAGCAACCCUCCAAGAGGCUCUAUUCAUCUAUGUGACUGAGACAGAUACAGAGACCCACAGACAACCAUUGGAUGGAAGUCAGAAAGCCCUGUGGAAGAGAUAGGAGAAGGAUUGAAGACCCUCAAGGAUAUGGCAACCCCACAGGAAGACCAACAGUGUCAACUAACCUGGACCCCUGGGAGCUCCUAGAGACUGAACCACCAACCAAAGAGCAUACACAGGCCCCUGACACAUAUGUAGCCUUGUUCUGCCUCAGUGGGAGAGGAUGCACCUAAUCCUGCAGAGACUUGAUGCCCCAGGGAGGGGGAUAUGGGAGUCUUCCCUCUCGAAAGCAAAGGAGAAGAGGCAUGAAGGAGGAACUCUUUGAGGGGGGACCGGGAGGGGGCAACAU
rnacentral:lncRNA from 1 species